rnacentral:lncRNA from 1 species
UUACAGGCGUGAGCCACUGCACCCAGCCAAAUCCUUUUUAAAGUCGUGAAUGUACUUGAUGACAAAGUGAAUGUGACAAGGUAUUUCCCACAAUUUUAUGUUAGAAUAGAAGAAAAACAUAUGUUUUAUGCAAUUACAUACUCACUCAUUCAUUUUCCAAGUACCUAUGCUAUUCCAGACACCAGGAAAUUUAGAGAAGAAGGAGAAACCAGUUAGUUGAUUAUCAGAAAUGGCAUAGACAAGAUGUUAUAGUCCUCCUGGCACUUUUGUAACAGUCUGCUUCUGACUUAUCCAAAUGGUUCAGCUCCAUUCCUGGCAGGGCAGAAAAGGCAAUGAGACAAGGUUCCUGAUUUCCAGUAGCUCACUAUCUAGUGGGAGAGAGAAACACAUAAAUAUGUCAUUGCGGUCGCAGAUGGUUAUCUACCCACAGAGCUUAGGAGCACAGUGGAGGGAGCAGGUAAUUCUGCUAGGCACCUAGAAGGGGUGCAGGAGGAGGUGACAUUUGAAUUUGGUCUUAAGAGAUAUUCAGACAUUUGACAGAUGGUGAAAGGAGAAGGACAUUCUAGCCAUCAGGCACGGCCUGGUCAAGGGCAUGGCUGAGGAUGUGAGAGCCGAGGGUGAGCAGAGACAGAGGGUGGAGGGGAGGAGUGGAAGGGAGUGGACCACGUCAUGAAGAGCCUCACUAAGGAGCAUCCAUCUACAAACAGUCUCACUCUGCGCCCAGGCUGGAGUGCUGUGGUGUGAUCUUGGCUCACUGCAACCUCUAACCUGACGGGUUCAAGCGAUUCUCCUGCGUCAGCCUCCUGAGUAGCUGGGAUUACAGGUGUGUGCCACCACGCACAGCUAAUUUUUGUAUUUUUAGUAAAGAUGGGGUUUCACCAUGUUGGCCAGACUUGUCUUGAACUCCUAACCUCAAAUAAUCCAUCUGCCUUGGCCUCCCAAGAGAUUUUUUUUUUUUUUUUUUUUGUAAGCAGAAGAGUGGUGUGGUUCGAUCUGAGGUUUAAGAGAUCACUCACAGGCAGCCAGUUGGAUGGAUUAAGGGGUCAGCAGGCCAAAGGGUAAAUAUUUGUGGCCUUGUGGACCACACAGUCUUUGUUACAACUUCUCAACUCUGCUGCUGUAGUGUGAAAGCAGCCAUAAGACAAUACAUUUAAGUAUUUCAUUUAAGAAAGAACCCGGCUGUGUUCUAAUGCACAUGUAUUUACAAAGCCAGGAGGUAUGGAUCUGUCCUGAGGACCAUCAUUUACCAACUCCUAUAUUAGACUAAGGUGGGAAUGAAGGCAAGGAGACCACUGACUAUGUGGAAAUUCUCUCAUGAAUGGAGAAAAUCAGAAUGGGGUGAGGGAAGUGCAACCAAGGCAGAGGGUAUCUUUCAGCCUCAAGAGGAGUCAGGUCCUCUACCUCGGCUGUGCUGGAAAGUGUGACUACACGCCUCACGGCCCAGCUCGCAUUUCCUACAAAGCAGGCAGAACACCUAGUUAUGCAAAGAGCAUCACUCACAGCCACUGCAGCCACCUGGGAGGUGUGGAGCUUCUAUCUGUGACAAGCCUGCCAAGGAACUCACAGGCCCAGGCAAGGAGAAGCCUAGAAAACAAGGUAGAAAGUCUUGGAAAAGCCUCAUUUGGUCUGCGAUGUAAGAAAACUUGAUUCCAGUUAAUUGAGGUAAAGAAGAAUUGGUUCAAUCUCAUAGAAUCCACAGGGGAGAUGUGUGAUUGGUCCCGCACUCUAAGAGCUGGAGAGCGAGAAGCAGGUGCCUCUUCUGGCCUCUGUGGGGCUGCACAGACUCUGUCUCCGUCUCUUCUGCAAAAUUGGCAUCCAUGUGUGGACUGCUCAUCAGUCAGUGUGGGGUGGAGACACAGAGAAAGUUCAGGAGUACAUAAGUGGCCCCAUAAAAACAUGCACCCUACCACUACCCUGGAGGGCAGCUGACCGGGGGUGUCUGGUCCAGCCUCUCUAACAACUCCUGCACCUCUCUGUCCAAGCCCCUUCCCCUUGCUGGGCAAAAUAAAGGGGGCAGUUUCGAUCACUGGCUCUCAACUGGGAUUUCUCCCAAAGUAGUAAUGAGGUCGACUUGCAAGCAUUUUUGGCUUUCAAAAAGCCAUUUAAAAUGCUCUGCUUGCUGAUGAAAGCUGUGGUUUCUUUGCUCUCGGCUACGAUUCUGUCAACUCAGGGUAGUAACACUGCUGAGCGCGUGCUGAUCUGAAGCUCUGAUUGGCUGCUGGUGACAUAAUAGGAAGGUCAGGAACGAUUGGCUGGCAGCUGAGACCGGCUGAGCCACAUACCAGGAAGGUGUGUUGGGCGUGAACAGAGCACGCUUAGAGCAGGAACAGAAGUACGAGCGACAGCCUACCAACAUCCUUCAAGCAUGGGGGCAGGGGAGGCAUGUGUUAAAUAACAGAGUCUUCAAGAUAGUGAAAACUAUGCAUCAUUUCUAGGGUCCUCUUUUGUGUAGCUCCUGUCUCCCCCUAGUCCCAGGUGUCUCUCCCCAGAGGGCUGGAGGGCCAGGCCAGGCUCGCAGACAAGUGGGUACAUGUACCCCCUUCACUCCCAGUUCCCUCCUCUCUGCCCAGACCUGCUCUCCGCAGCCCUGAGGCGGGCAGCUGGUCCACCCUUCUCCCCUGCAGUUCUCUCUAGGCUUAGGACCCAGGUCCCUCCCUGCUCUAGGUGGUCUGGAUGUCAGCAUCUCAAGCUGCGGCCUCAGGCAGCAACAGGCACGCCCUUUAUGAAUUAUCUGAGCAGAGCACAGCCACAGUGGGAGGAAUAAAAAUAACAAGAAACACAAAAGGUGCCUCCUUGAACAGGAAGAGACACUAGGGAUGGGGGACUGGCUCACCUGGUGAGUCACCCUGCGUUCCCUCUUCUUGGCUGGCUAUCAAAAGAGAAGAGAACACAGGCAAUAACCUGUGGCCUCCAGGGACGGGCUGGGCGUUUUAGAAAGGCCCUGGGUUUGCAGAAGAGAACAGCACGCAUGGUGGGGAGGCUGCUGGAGGUUGGGAUUCUACGUCUGGCUCAUGGCAAACCUGAUGGAUGACUUUGGGCUCUUUUCAGAGUCUCUGUUGCCUCAUUUGUUUGUUUGUUUUUGAGACGGAUUAUUUAUUUAUUUGAGUCGGAGUUUUGCUUUUUGUCGCCCAGGCUGGAGUACAGUGGCCAGAUUUGUUUGUUUGUUUUUGAGAUGGAUUAUUUAUUUUUGAGACAGAGUUUAGCUCUUUGUUGCCCAGGCUGGAGUGCAGUGGUGUGAUCUCUGCUCACU